rnacentral:lncRNA from 1 species
ACUCGUAACUGUGGUUCUUAACUCCCAUCUGUGAUUUAGGGGAGGCAGCUAGGCUGAGAAUCCUAGGUUGUGCCUGUGCUAACUUCAGGGCAUGCCCCAUUCUCUCUAUCCACCACAGUCCUUGUCCAAGCAAGCCCUGAUGGCCAGUGCUUUGCCACACAGCAGUGCCAGCCUCUGGCAGGCUCAACUCCUACUUCGGCAGGAAGUCUGGAAGAGUGCUGUGCCUGGCCCUGGGGACACAGCUGGUGGAACAGCAGCUCCCAGGUCUGCCUCAGUUGUUCCAACAGACACCUCCCAGGUCCGGGUGAUGUUGGGCUUCGAGGACGUGCUGAUCCAGGGCGGUGCGGUCUCUGUGAGGGGGAAGCCCAUGCCUGAGGGGGAAGGAGUCUCAGCUGCUCCAUGGGCUGAGCCUGCAGUGGCAGGGGGACCGGCUGGUGCUGUCUGGGGGCCCAGGGGUCGUUGUGCAGCUGGACAGAUACAGUUCUGUCUCAGUCUCCGUGGACCAUGA